rnacentral:rRNA from 1 species
ACCUACGGGGGGCAGCAGUAGGGAAUUUUCGUCAAUGGGCGCAAGCCUGAACGAGCAAUGCCGCGUGAACGAGGAAGGUCUUCGGAUCGUAAAGUUCUGUUGCAGGGGAAAAAGAGCGGAGAGAGGAAAUGGUCUCCGAUUGAUAUUACCUUUCGAGGAAGUCACGGCUAACUACGUGCCAGCAGCCGCGGUAAUACGUAGGUGGCGAGCGUUAUCCGGAAUGAUUGGGCGUAAAGGGUGCGUAGGCGGCCUGCUAAGUCUGGAGUGAAAGGUACCGGCUCAACCGGUACAGGCUCUGGAAACUG